GAUGAACGCUGGCGGCGUGCUUAACACAUGCAAGUCGAACGAGGUCUUCGGACCAAGUGGCGGACGGGUGAGUAACGCGUGAGUAUCUGCCCAGAGGUGGGGGACAACAAUUGGAAACGAUUGCUAAUACCCCAUAUGCUGAGAGGUGAAAGGUUUACUGCCUUUGGAUGAGCUCGCGUCUGAUUAGCUAGAUGGUGGGGUGAAGGCCUACCAUGGCGACGAUCAGUAGCUGGUCUGAGAGGAUGAUCAGCCACACUGGGACUGAGACACGGCCCAG
rnacentral:rRNA from 1 species